rnacentral:rRNA from 1 species
AUGAACGCUGGCGGCGUGCUUAACACAUGCAAGUCGAACGAUGAAGCCCAGCUUGCUGGGUGGAUUAGUGGCGAACGGGUGAGUAACACGUGAGUAACCUGCCCUUAACUCUGGGAUGAGCCUGGGAAACUGGGUCUAAUACCGGAUAGGAGCGCCUACCGCAUGGUGGGUGUUGGAAAGAUUUAUCGGUUUUGGAUGGACUCGCGGCCUAUCAGCUUGUUGGUGAGGUAAUGGCUCACCAAGGCGACGACGGGUAGCCGGCCUGAGAGGGUGACCGGCCACACUGGGACUGAGACACGGCCCAGACUCCUACGGGAGGCAGCAGUGGGGAAUAUUGCACAAUGGGCGAAAGCCUGAUGCAGCGACGCCGCGUGAGGGAUGACGGCCUUCGGGUUGUAAACCUCUUUCAGUAGGGAAGAAGCGAAAGUGACGGUACCUGCAGAAGAAGCACCGGCUAACUACGUG